rfam:Candidatus Kaiserbacteria bacterium RIFOXYB1_FTLL_46_14 rifoxyb1_full_scaffold_64, whole genome shotgun sequence.
GCGGCCAUGGUUAAGUGGUAUAACAUAUCGUUGCCAACGAUAGGUCGAGAGUUCGAUUCUCUCUGGCCGCA